rnacentral:rRNA from 1 species
UUACACCGAGAAGUCCCCCGUGCAAACCGGGUCGCCCUGAAGCCUAACAGCUAGCCCUCCCCCAAAAACCCAACCAAACUAUAUCUAUACCCCCUAAUACAAUUAAACCUUUAAUUAAAUCAUUUUCCCCCUCUAGUAUGGGCGACAGAAAAAGAACUAGGCGCAAUAAAGAAAGUACCGCAAGGGAAAGCUGAAAAAGAAAUGAAACAACUCAGUAAAGCACAAAAAAGCAGAGACUACUCCUCGUACCUUUUGCAUCAUAUUCUAGCUAGUGCCCUUCGAGCAAAAAGCAUUUUAGUUCGAUACCCCGAAACCAGGUGAGCUACUCCAAGACAGCCUAAUAAAAGGGCCAACCCGUCUCUGUGGCAAAAGAGUGGGAAGAGCUUCGAGUAGAGGUGACAGACCUACCGAACCUUGUUAUAGCUGGUUACCUAAGAAAUGAAUAGAAGUUCAGCCUCUUAACUUCUUUCCUCACAUAAAGACCUCCUUAACUGAGACACUGAAGAAGUUUAGAAAGUUAGUCAAAAGGGGUACAGCCCUUUUGAAACAAGAUACAACUUUCCUUAGAUGGAUAAGGAUCAAACCCAACAAAGGCAAGAUAUUUUGGUGGGCCUAGAAGCAGCCACCCUUCCAGAAAGCGUUAAAGCUCAAAUAUUUCACCCAAACCCUAAAAUCCCGACAAUUUAAUCCAACUCCACUAACACUAUUAGGUCACCCCAUAAUUACAUAUGGGGGCGAUUAUGCUAGUAUGAGUAACUAGAGAGUACAGACUCUCUCCCUUGCACAAGUGUCCCCCGGAACGAACCCCCACCGGACAUUAAACGGCCCCAAAAAAAGAGGGCACCAGGCCAAAAAGAGAGCACAAGAAAACCGCCUGCAAACAACCGUUAAUCCCACACUGGUGUGCUAAUAUGGAAAGACUAAAAGGAGAAGAAGGAACUCGGCAAAUCACUCAAGCCCCGCCUGUUUACCAAAAACAUCGCCUCUUGCAUAAAUGAGUAUAAGAGGUCCCGCCUGCCCUGUGACUAGAAUGUUUAACGGCCGCGGUAUUUUGACCGUGCGAAGGUAGCGAAAUCACUUA